UAGCCCAACUGUGUGCCUAUGUCUGUAUGUCUAUCUGCUUGCUAGUCACAGUUGUCAUUGAUUGCCGGUCUUAAUUCUUAAUUUUACACAUUUCUUAUGGCUAAUUUCAGAGAGAAAAUAAGUGCAGAUUGGAAAACGCAGUCCAGAUGCUUUCUGGGAAUUAUCCAACACAAGAGGAACCACCCAACUCAUUUCCGGUCAUCAGCCUCCACGAUGCAGACUCCCCUCCUUGCCAGGAGAGCAUCCAUUAUGAUGGAUGGCAUCACCAUUAUAAGCGGCGAGAUGGAUGUGGCACAUGCCAUUCAAUGUCUGCUGGAGAUGUACUUCGUCAUUGGUGUGGAGUACCCCCGGCAGAUCAAGCAUACCCUUAGCUUUUCAGAGCAUUAUCUUUUCAAAAUACAAAGUUAAAAAAAAGUGUCCAUCCCUGUUCUGAAAUUAUAUAACCAGAUUAGUUCAUCACUGUUACUGUUGAGUUUUUAAAUAAAAAAAUACAGUCCAUUUUUGAA